CAGAAUCUGCAUGUCGUAAAAUGAUUGCACAUUUAGUGCUACGAAAGUUAACUCCUGUGGACAUGCAAGGAACCUAUGGAGCCAGUACCAAGAGGUGGAGCUCCACAUUAAUACUCUGAUCUAAUCUGCCUCAGCAGUUGUAAUCUCCAAAGUGCUGCAUGAUUCAUCGGUCUACACGUGUCCCGCUACCAAC
rnacentral:lncRNA from 1 species